rnacentral:rRNA from 1 species
GAGGAAAGAGGGGGAAAGGAUGAACACAUGCAAGUCGAGGGGAAACGACGGGGAAGCUUGCUUCCCCGGGCGUCGACCGGCGCACGGGUGAGUAACGCGUAUCCAACCUGCCUCUGACUGAGGGAUAACCCGUCGAAAGUCGGCCUAAUACCUCAUGGCAUCGUCUGCGGGCAUCCAACGACGAUUAAAGAUUUCAUCGGUCAGGGAUGGGGAUGCGUCUGAUUAGCUUGUUGGCGGGGUAACGGCCCACCAAGGCUACGAUCAGUAGGGGUUCUGAGAGGAAGGUCCCCCACAUUGGAACUGAGACACGGUCCAAACUCCUACGGGAGGCAGCAGUGAGGAAGAUUGGUCAAUGGGCGGGAGCCUGAACCAGCCAAGUAGCGUGCAGGAUGACGGCCCUAUGGGUUGUAAACUGCUUUUAUGCGGGGAUAAAGUGAGGGACGUGUCCUUCAUUGCAGGUACCGCAUGAAUAAGGACCGGCUAAUUCCGUG